UACGGAGGAUGCAAGCGUUAUCCGGAAUCAUUGGGCGUAAAGCGUCCGUAGGUGGCGUUUCAAGUCUGCUGUCAAAGCACAAGGCUUAACCUUGUAAAGGCAGUGGAAACUGAAAGAGCUAGAGUGCGGUAGGGGUAGAGGGAAUUCCCAGUGUAGCGGUGAAAUGCGUAGAGAUCGGGAAGAACAUCGGUGGCGAAAGCGCUCUACUGGACCGCAACUGACACUCAGGGACGAAAGCUAGGGGAGCGAAUGGG
rnacentral:rRNA from 1 species